rnacentral:lncRNA from 1 species
AUGGAUGGAUUCCCCGGACCUUACUUUCCUGCCCCCGUACCACACGUGCUGCAUAACGCCACCCUGCAGACGCAACUCCACCUGUGGAAGGCCGCCGCUGCUUUCGGAGAGGUCAUCCACAUGACGGACAAUUCCGCCCCUUUAGCGGAUAAUGCCACGAUCAACCGAGCGUGGUUUGACCGCCUCUUUAAAGAAGGAUACACAUGCACCGAACACCUUCACAAGGGACACUGCAACAACUUCACAAUUCAUACACAAACUGUCCGAAAUAUGGACAUGUUCCUCCUCUGUGAGAAUGCCACCAUAACUAACACCUCCCUUGGGCUUAACGUGACUUGCCCAAAUGGGGGGAAGCUCACCAACACACUCAUGUCCAUCAACAUAACUAAUGAGACCCGGGUGUUCGUGCUCACAACACCCCCUCUGACCUUCUUGCCGGUAGGAACGGACAAGCCUUUUGCCGACUCGGAUUUCUUUCGGGCUGUCCUGAACCGGGGUAAGAGGGGCUUUGAAGUGACUGCUGUGGACUUCAUUGGGCUAGUGGCCAGUCUGAUAGAACAAGUGGAGAUUAGCACCCUCUACAAGCGAGUAGGCCUAGUCGAAGAUAAUCUUAGGGAUUUUAUGCAGCUCACAACCAAGGCCUGGAUUGCCCAACAAGACAUUAAUAAAUUGGUGACCAUAGAAUUGUCGGCCCUUACAUCGGCCGUGCAAGCCUUAGCCACCCUCAUACAGGUUAACUCCGUGCUAGAGGGCCUCCCUUGCCAUCAUGUACUACCCAGGCCAAUGUGCAUGACGGCCGCCGUGCACAACGCAUCCAGGGAGCUGGAUGAGGCAAGCCGGACCUUGAAUGAGCAUAGCAAUAUGUCUGACUAUCUCAGACGCCUAGAAGAUAUAGUACUACAGAUAAAGAAUGAGACAGACCAAUAUAAGCAGCAGAUACAAAAGGACCAUGGCAUUCUCCCCGAGUGGUUUAACCAGCUUGAAUUGUCUAAUUGGCUUAAUUAUGUACUGAGUAUGGGAAGCAUGGUUUUCUUUCUCUUGGUCAUGUGUAUAUGCCUCCCCUGCUUGCUAUCUUACGUGGUACGGCUUUGGCGUAUGGUCUUAGAGCAAGUAAAAGCGGAUAUAUUCCUGCGUAAACAAAAAGGGGGAGUUGUUAGGGGCGGUCGGCCCUAG